rnacentral:lncRNA from 1 species
GGAAGGGAUGUAGUGCAGCUUGGUAGCGCGUUUGUUUCGAAUACAAAAUGUCACGGGUUCAAAUCUUGUCAUCCCAACCUAUUACUGCUCAUAUAGGAUCUUUCAUUCUUAUGAUACUGCAUACAAGAUGUAUUGGGACCAAUCCUUUCUUUACAUACUUAUCUUUUAUGAGAAGAAAAACACCUAGUUAAGUUUGGUAGAACGCGGGUCUCCAACACCCGAUUUCGUAGGUUCAAAUCCUAUAGAGUGUGACUCGGAUCUUCUUCGAUCG